GACAGAGGGUGCAAACGUUGUUCGGAUUUACUGGGCGUAAAGCGCGUGUAGGCGGCUUUGCAAGUCGGAUGUGAAAUCCCACGGCUCAACCGUGGAAGUGCAUCCGAAACUGCAUCGCUGGAGUCUCGGAGAGGAAGGUGGAAUGCUUGGUGUAGAGGUGAAAUUCGUAGAUAUCAAGCAGGAACACCUGCGGCGGAAGGCGGCCUUCUGGACGAUGACUGACGCUGAGACGCGAAGCGUGGGAGCAAACAGG
rnacentral:rRNA from 1 species